GUCUUCACAUCUAAAUGGAAUAUACUGCUUAACCUUCUCCUCUACCUAUAUUAUCCCCUCUUCUCUGCCUUUUUUGUCUUCUCUGUGUCUGCUUGUCCACAUGAACAAACCCAAAUAUGAUGAUCUGAUCAUUAAGUGUAGGAUUAAUGGGUUGGUGGUUGGAACACUGAUCCAUUUAUUUCCAACACAUAUGAGAACAAAUAUAUUAUUAAUCAUUUGUAUGCUAUUUAAUGAAUUGACUUAAUAUUCCAUAUUAAAUUUACCUGAGACAUUUUCUUUCACAUUUUUACCACAAUCGUAGUAUGUUCAUAUAAUAUGUUCAUAUUAUUCAAAAUGAUGAUAAAAUGUUUUAAAAAUAAAAUAUUC